GGGCCUGUAGCUCAGUCGGUUAGAGCAGCUGACUCAUAAUCAGCCGGUCCCUGGUUCAAGUCCAGGCAGGCCCA
rfam:Omnitrophica bacterium RIFCSPHIGHO2_02_FTLL_51_18 rifcsphigho2_02_scaffold_852, whole genome shotgun sequence.